rnacentral:rRNA from 1 species
GACGAACGCUGGCGGCAGGCCUAACACAUGCAAGUCGAGCGGAGCGGCGGACGGGUGAGUAAUGCCUAGGAAUCUGCCUGGUAGUGGGGGAUAACGUCCGGAAACGGGCGCUAAUACCGCAUACUAUCAGAUGAGCCUAGGUCGGAUUGGCUAGUUGGUGGGGUAAAGGCCUACCAAGGCGACGAUCCGUAACUGGUCUGAGAGGAGUAUCAGUCACAUUGGAAUUGGGACACGUUCCGGACUCCUACGGGAGGAAGCAGUGGGGAUUAUUGGACAAUGGGCGAAAGCCUGAUCCAGCCAGGCCGCGUGUGGGAGGAAGGUCUUGGGAUUGUAAAGCACUUUAAGUUGGGAGGCGUUACCAACAGAAUAAGCACCGGCUAACUUCGUGCCAGCAGCCGCGGUAAUUC